rnacentral:lncRNA from 1 species
AGUAUUUGGCCACGAGGUUAUUCCCAAAACCACCCACUUUAUUGUAGCUCUGAUGAUGCAGGAGCUACAAAGAUAGCAAAUAUUGCUGUAUUUCUCAGAGGGCAAAGGAAAAGAAAAUAAGGAAGAGCAGAAGAAUAGUGUACAGAGGAUGAGGAGAAAUACUGGUAAGUGUCUUCAGAACAGAAGAUCAAGAGGAAAGGCUCUAUGCAGAGGGUUUCAGAAGAGAGAAGAUAUUUCAUCUGCAUCUCCCACUUCAGAACAAUACUGAAAGCGCAACAUUCAAGCUGCGAUCAGUAAUCAUGAGCCACAGGAACCUGCUCAUUUGUAUUGUAAAUUACACAACUUCUGCCCUUUAUUUCAUAUACAGUUGAUCACUUUUGUCAGGACUGUCAUCAGAGCAUGUGCCUGGGAAGAAAAAGAACAAAAUAAUAAUAAAAAAAGCCAACAAAUCAGCCAUGGAAGUGUAGGAGUGCAUGAAAGAUUUCAGUUGGAAGAAGCUUUGGAUACAAUCUUCCAGAAGGAACCAACACCUUGUGAGGAUAAAAUUAGAGAUGAGACGUUAAUUUCUGAAAUCCAAAUCUGUUGCUAAAAUGUGAAUAAACAAAAUGAUCUGCCAAUUUUAUGACCCGAA